ACAAGGAGAGCACUGGUCUCAGCCCCUGCCCAGCCAGCUGAUGCUGGUAUCACAAAAAUGACCCACACCUCCCUCCCAGCCAGACGGGAGCACUUCUCACUGCUUCCAGCUGCACCCACCUUGCCACUGAUUCCCCCCCGAGGGCCCCAGUACCACUUUCUAACCUGCUGCCCCCACACCUGCUAGGUUCUGCAUUUCCUCCCAUCGCUCUUUUAAAAGGCCUUUCAGGAGGGCAGCAAGGUGUGCCAGCACUCUGGCUGGGGGUGCUGCUACAUGUGGGGGUGUUUGCCUGGCUGUGGGCUGCUGUGCUUGGCCAGAGGACAGGCGGUAGCUGUGGGAGCAGGUGCUCUGCCAGAGGAAUGUUGAAGAUGCUUCAGUCAUGUCUCUUGUUCCACGUGAUGAGCGCUCCGAGUACGAAAUUUAUUUUUGUGAAUUUUACUGUGAAGUCUAAAGCUGUUCCAAUGAAAUCAAGGUACAGGCACAAGCCACAAAUAAUUUACAGCUACAAAAUGGAAAGCAAAAGAAUAGUAAUUGCUAAGUGAAUUGGAUUCAAGAAACAACUACAAUGCAAGUAAAAUCUGCUCUCCGUGUGCUUCUCAUCAGAGCUCUUCUCUGGGCUGGGGGUGCUGCCAGCAGCUCCGUGCCUCUCUGCAGACUUGUAUCUGAACUAACUGGGGACUCUGAGCUGAAAACUUUGAGUGAGACUGCUCUUGUGUCACCAGGCUCCUGCAUUGAGUAUAAAGCCACGCGUCUGAGGAGCUGCUUCCAUGAGGCAACACAUGUCUGUACCCAGGCACCAGGGGGAUGCCCAGCAGGGCUGCAGGGUGCCUGGCUCUGUGGGGAAUCAGCCCUAUAAAAGGGGAAAACCACGAAUCCUAACCUAAUCCAGACUUCCUCAGGGAUGAGAAUUUCAUCUGCUUGCUUCUGUCUUUGUUGGUGUACAAAAGCCUUUCUCAAACUCCGCUGUGGUGCUUUUCCUAAUCCUAAGAAAAACUGGGGGAAAGAGGGGACAUAAGCUAUUUGGGGUAGUUGAUGGCUUAUGGCUGACAACAGAUGAGGAGGGUAAGAGGGAGAUUAGACCAGACACGGAGUCUCAUCUUCCCUCUGCUGUACAAGAGGGCUCUGGCCUCCUGGCUCUCAAUCUGCCUGUCCACAAAUGCUUUUCUUGCGUGUUCCUUGCAGACUAGGGAAGUGUACUGAGGGUGUUAAGACUCAAGCUAAAACCCCACACAUUUCCAAAAGGCUGAUUGCAAAACUUUUCCAUGGUGUCUGUAGCAUGGAACACUUCAUUCUUUCCCACAGCUCCCAAGAGGCCUAGAGGGCACUGGGCAGCUGGGUGCCUCUCCCGAGGACACAGCUCCCCUCUGGCCCUGCUGGAUGCCUCCCCAGGGCAAACUGGUUUCGGGUUUGCUAGGGCGGGGUGUAGCAGCACAGCAUUUCACACAAUGAGACUUAGCAUGGUGUUUUGGGGAAAAUUGAAGUAAUGUUUCAGGCAGAGACGCAGCGUGAGUCAUUGAAACCAUCUUUUGUGUAUCAGCACCUCACCCACUCCCAGCCUGGCGAUCGCUGCUCAGCGCACGUGGAUGGGACGGGUCCUGGAUGACAACGGGCUCCUCAGCUCGUACAACUGGCUGCAGAGGGCAGGGCUUCAUCCCACCAGGAUGUCCAAGACAGCAACAGUCCCACUCGCAAAAAUCUCCUACUGGUUGGUUUAAAGCUCAGGCCAGCUUUGUGCUUGUGGUGACCGUGGGCUCAGGAGGAGGGCAGUAAGAAAAGCAGCUGAAAUGGGACCGGUCCCCACUCCUGGCAAGCCUGAGCACGGCACCUCUUCCAGCUACGUUCGAUUUGUGGAAAUCUAUUAAUAAUAGAGGCUGUGGAUUGUUUUUUAAGAGCAAAGCCAGACCCUAGGGCAAAAUUGUCCUUGACAGAACAGGCUGUUUUCCCUGCUAAGCCAGGAAGCUUGCUUUUGGAGAACUGUCUUUUAGUGUCUUUUAAAAGACACCAAACCACUGAAGAAUGAUUUGAGUUGCAUCUCAGUCUCUGGCCUACUGAAGAAAGAUGACUGUAAGAGCAAAUUUCCGCCGUUCCUCUGACAAGGGAAGGUUAUUUGCUGAAAGGUACCACUUCUGAAUAUAGAAAUCCCCCCAGGAAAUGUGCCAGCAGAAUCCAUAAAUGACUUAAUAGGCAGAGACCGUGACUUCCCAAAGGCACACAGGGAACAAGGUGGUGCACCUCAGGGAAGUGCUCCCUGUGGAGUUACACCACAGGGCUGGAGGUGCACCAUGCAUUGCUUUGGUUAUCUUCUGGGGGUGGAGGGGAAGCAGACUGCAUUGCAUUGCCUGCAGCAUUUCACACUGAAUGUGUGCAUAAACCUUUCCUCCUAGCUCAAUUCUCCUCAGGUGAAGUUUAUCUUACUGGGACCUCAUCUGCCCCUCUACCUUGCCUUACUUUGUUAAAUAUGGUGCAGCAAUUUUCCUGGUGUAUGAGGUAACUCCUGCUGUGAGCCUAGAAUAAAGCCAGGUACUCUGAGAUGACUGAGGAGAUCAAGCCAAAACCGCAAGCAUUUCCUGCCAUCAGCUGGAGCUGCCCCACGCUGCUGUAAUGCCAUUUUCCAACACAGCUUUAGCAGCUGACCUGUUCUCUCAGGCUGCCAGUUGAAGUCCAAGCUGUUCCUCUCGCAGGCCAGCUCUCCCCUCUGCUGCUGUUUGCAGCCUUCUCUGGGUUUGUCCCAGUUCCCACCAGUGCCCCCAGUUUAACCAUCCUUCUCCAGGAGACAGUCAUCAAAGGAUGCCAGGAGCAAGCUUGUGAAAGAGCAGGUGGGAAAGGUUUGGCCACAUCUCUGCUGUGAUGGGGCAGGAGCUCACAGCUGCUCUUGGGCACUGCAACCACACCAGCUCCCCAGGUACUACUGAAGCCUGUGCUGCUGUUUUUAUCUGGUUUACACGUUUUUGGAAAUUGGAUGCUCCAAAGGCUAGAAGUGCCCUUCCCCAGCCCCAUGGCAGGGUAAUUGCACCUGCCCCAAGCCCUGCUCAGGAAAAAGGGGGACUCUGGGACUCUGCUGUGUGUGGGUGAAACCUGAGGCAGACAUCAGCGCGUCUGAAGGGAAUUGAGCUCAAACACAGUUAUCUGUGGGCAUACCUAGAAACUAAUGCAGGAAAACUUCAAACCCUGUUUGAAGACUGGAAAGGGGGAGAAAACUGAUAAUCUUCAUAGCUAGGAUAGCACAGUGAGAUAAAAAUGCAUCAGGUAAACAAGGCUAAUGCAGCAUGAUUGCAGAGAGUAGGAGGGGAGAGAGAAAAGGGAAAGCGCUAACGGAGGUGUAAGCAAGAGUCACAAAGUGCUGUAUUUAAUCAUACUCUGACAUUUCCAGUAAGAACAAAUGUUUGUGUACUAUGGCAAGGAGCUCAGGCAGUGAAAUUGAAUGUUACUUACGCAUUAUGCAAAAAAUGACAUUAUAGGCACAGUGCAUGUGGCAGAACAUUAAUCACUAGCGAGACACAGAUCCUGAAGUAUAUACUGCUAUCGAGGAAAGAAAGAUACAAAAUGUGAUGGGUAUUUUGUAUAAACACCGCAAUAACCCAAAGAAAUAAAGGAUACAAAAAGUGUUAAUCAUGGGAGAAGGAAAAGAAAUCUAGAAAGGUCGCUCUAGAAGUUUGUCACGAACCUGGGGACCUGGUUAGCAAUGCCCAUCAUUAGCGGAGACUUUAAUUUCCUAGAAAGAGAUUGGGCCUUAUCAGUGGGAGCAGUUGCUGUCCUGCUGACACCCUGGAUGUGUGAAGUGAUGAAUGCCUUCAUUAACCACUCACUGAGCCAACAAGCAAUGAACCUGCUCACUAAUUAGAGGUGUCACAGAAGACCUGGCCACGGAAGGCAAUCUCGAUUGGAUCAAGUGAGAUAUUUCAACACAAUUCACAUGGACACAGAAAAUGAGACAGUGAUUAAGAUUCUUAAUUACAAAUGGGAAAUCUUUAUUUUCGAAAUUAAAUAGUCAAGUGAACUAGCCUGAGACAGCAGUGGAUGUGACUGGAGGCAGCUGGGAGCGAACAUCUGUGGUGGAGCAGGAGCCUGUGCUGAGAACUGGGAAAUGAGAGUUUAGGAGGGGUUCAGGCCUGGACUAGGGGUAGCUGGGGGUGGACAACUACAAAUAUGAGGUACUGGGGGUAAACAGGAGGUCUGCAAAUAGCGGAAAGAUUAAUUGGAAGAGAACAACAACAUCCAAGGAUAAGAAGAUGUGGGGGAAGAACUGGAAUUGCUAAACACCAAGCUGAGUUAUGUUGUAAGACCAAAAGCAAGACUUUUCAGCCAUGUGAUUUAAAGAAACACAAGGAGAAAUGAGAUUGGAACAGAAAGAAGUUCUAGGGACAGCUCUACAUGAGUGCUGUAGCAAAAUGCCCCAAAAGACCGUGAUGGCAAACAGAUGUAGGGGAGGAAGAACCCGAAGCAAAAUGCUGAGAGUUUAAUGGAGCAAGGCUGGAGAAGGCUGGAAAGUCUUCAUUUGGGAUGAAGGCUAGUACAGGGCAGUGGAAGGCUGGUAGCAAGGCUUGUUAGUGCGCCUGCCACUUGAGGGAGUGACACACAGAAAACAUCCAAGAGGAGGAGGGGGAAGGAGGGCAAGCAAAGGGCAGGGAGCUGAGCAACCACAAGUCCAUUUAUAUAGAUCUAUUGAUCCAUAGGGUACCGGGCUGUCAAACAAAUCUGGAAGGAAAAGUAUUUGGAUACAUCAAAGGAAAUCGGAUAAAGUGCAGGGGAAGCUGACGAGGAGACUCUGCCCACCUCGUCUGAUGUCUUUGGUAACAGCUGACUCUCUAGGCAAGGCAGAGGCAGUGGGGAUCUCACAUGAACUUCAGUGACAUUGUAGCAUCAUGCAGGAAAACAGAGUUAUGAAAGAAUUGCAAGGCACAUGAGGAACUGGGAAGAGGAGACACUGCUGGUUGUGUUAAGAGAGGUAUUGGGGGGAGGUCCUGUAAAUCAUCAAGGUUAAACACAGAAAGCAAUCGUAAUGCUUUUGCUCUCAGCCUUGUUAUUAAAAACAGGGGUUCGCUGGUUUGCACCACAUUGGGAGUCCCCCGUUAUGCUGUAGGGCACAGAGGUUGGGUGUUUUGUGCCACACAGAACUCUCCCUGCGAUCCUUCUCGGUGCUGGGGACGACUCUGUGCAUCUCUGGAGAGGAUGCUGACCUGCAUGUUUCUGAUGAUUUUCCCAGUGUGCAGGCAACAUCCUAUGCCCCAGUGACCCCUAGCUCCAAAAACGAGCAUGGGGAUGACUCACAGAGAGUAUCUGGGAUGGACCAGAUUGGCCCUUCUCACAUGAUCAGCUCUGCUUGCAGCAGAGAGGCCACAGGCAGCCGGGGAGCCGAGUGUAUCGUGCAUUACAUAACGCAGGAUGUCACUGCUGCAGCCAUUUCUUAAAGGUUCACGCACCGUGGUAUGACGUACCGAACAUCACGCAGCAAAGCGCUUCACAAUUCCCAGUGGGGAAAAGAAAAUGCGUGCUGUGUGUAUUCUCAAGGUAGGGUUAAUGAAACACAACUCUCAGCCUCCGCUGGAGCUGCUGGCAGCUGCUGCAUUAUUAAUAGCAUCACAGCUGCAAAGAAAGUAGAGCUUGUUCUAAGGGUUUAGGCUUUUUUUUUUCCUCCUUUUAACUACUUGCAUGGAAAUACUUUCUAGAACUGCUUCUCACUGCUAAGCUGAAAACGUGAGAGCAGAGUAAUGAGAUGUGAUCUCCUGCCACAAACUCCCCCAUGCAGAUGAGAGCAGUGAGCGCUGCCCUGCCCAGGCAGGGAUGCAGGGCAGGCGCUGUGCCCCGUGCCAGCCCCGCUGUGACAUCAGGCCCUGCGAGCCAGCCUCACCUGUGGGAUAGCAGCCUCCGGGGCUGCAGGUUCUGAUGGUAUCCGUUAACAUCUCAGGCAUGGCCAGCACUGAAGGCCCUCCAUCCGUCCACCCAGGGGCUGGUUCCCCAGGGGACACCAAGGUCACCACCACAGCAGCGCAUGCAGGGCCCGACUCCCCCCAUGAUCCCCGGUACCUGCCAGGUCCCACCACGAGGUGAUGCAGGGUGGGCCAUGGAGGGCUGCUGAUCAGGGACCACUGGGGGUGCAGAGGGGGUGCAGGGCUGAGCCUCACCCUUCUUAAACUCCUCGAGCAGCGUGUCGAGGCGCGUGUCGUUGAAGACGCAGUGGAGCGGGCGGCGAUAGAAGCGGGUGACGGUCUGCAGCGGGGUGCAGUCGUCGGGGUCGACGAAGGCCAGGUCCUUGACGAAGAGCAGGUCGACGAUGUUGUCGCGCCGGUCGCCCUCGUAGACGGGGAUGCGGGUGUAGCCGGAGCGGAGGAUCUCGGAGACGGUGGCAAAGUCGAGCACGGCGUCGGCGCGGAGCAUGAAGCAGUCGGCCAGCGGCGUCAGCACGUCCUCCACCACCUUGGUGCGCAGCUCCAGCGCGCCCUGCACCAUGGCCAACUCCUCCCGCACCAGGUCGCCGUGGGGGCCGGCGGCGCGCAGCGUCUCCAACAGCCGCUCCCGCGUGGAGAAGACGCUCAGCUCCUGCCGCAGCGCCCAGUCCAGCAGCCGGCUGAGCGGGUAGCAGAGGGGGAAGGCGGCCAGCAUCAGCAGCCGGGUGAGGCACAGGGUGCGCGACGCGAUGGCCAGCCCGUGCCGCGAGCACACCGAGUAGGGCAGCACCUCGCCGCCCAGGAAGACGGCGGCGGCGCACAGCAGCACCGGCAGCCAGGGCGCUCCCCGCGGCCCUCCGGCCGCCGCCGCCGGCCCUCCGCCGGGCAGCGAGGCGCAGAGCCAGCCGGCCAGCGCCGCGUUGGCCCCGGCCUGGCCCAGCAGCAGCGUGCACAGCAGGGAAGGCACCCAGAUCCACAGUGACACAAGACACAACCUGCAUCCUUCUUCACCCUGCUCUAGGUCUGAUGGAGAAGCUGAAGCCCAGACCACCUGCAAGAGCCAUUGCCCGUGUUCCUGGUGCCAGGAGUGAGACUGGAGCAGAGAGUGUGUGACAUUAGCACGUCAGUGCUGGGGACCCCCCUCGGAGCCACAAGAGGCUUUUGCUGCCAUGGACCUUGCCCUGCUGCCCCACCAUCAGUCCCUCUGCCUUCAGGCAGAGCCAGACAGCCCUGCCUUAGCUGGGCAGGGCCGAGUGAGGGAUUUAUAGGAGGUGGCUGGUGGGGUGAAUCAGUGCUGACAUUUAACAGCGCUGCCUCCUCCUCACACCCAUGAAAAUGGGCCACUUUGUGCGUCACUAUGUCAGCAGGCACACAGGCAUGAGGAGCUACCGGGGAGACCUGUGCUCCUUGCUGUGUUGGGAGAAACUCUCCCCCUCUGCAUAAGAGGCAGCUAAUUUUUUUUUUUUUUUUUUCCCAAAAUUGAUUAAUUCCCUGGGAUUUCAUGGGGGCUCUGUGCUGUUUCUUGCUGGUUUUCCCUUUCUACCUCCCUAGCUCCAGCGGAGGAGCACUGUCUGAUGCUCUACCCGGGCAUGACUUCCAGAGGUUAACUCGUAACCUCCUUUACCAGACCUUCCCCUGGGCUGAACUUGUACCACCCAAGGAACAGAUCUCAUAAAUUGCCCUAAACAAUACCCAAAGGGACAGGGAGAAGUUCAGUCUGCUCCUGCCUUUCUGUGUGUGAGUGCUGGGGGUGAGCACAUGGCUGCUCUGUCCCUAUCAUGGCCAUGUGGGAACCGUUGUCUGACACUACCCCAUAUUUUUGCAACAGCAGGCUGUCACCAGCCCUGAAAUGUCCAAAAACCUUAUGCUGAGAAUAUCAUAAAGACAAUUUGGUUUUGUGCACCCCUGUCAGCGCUUUGUGUCAGCGUUUGGAAGCUAGGUACCUGCGUCAGUGGUUACUCAUCCUUAUUAACCUGCAGAUUCCCGAGGGAUUUCCCAGUGCAGGAACUGAAGGCUGCGAACUGCGGGGUUCCUUUUCUUUAGUUAAGUAGGUGCUUGGGAAGCGCUCUUGUCCAUAGUACCCUGGUCGCCGGAGAUCCUCAGGCGGCAGGAUGCACACCGCUGCUCUGGGGGAGCGCACGGAGCCGUGGCACUGCGGGAGGAGGAACCACAAGGUGGCAAUCUCUCUCCGUGCUUCUACUGGCAAAAUAACCCUGGGACGAAAAGUCUCGGGCAGUAACUCGAAAGUGGGAAGAAAACUAGCAAGCACAGAGCUGGCUUCUCAUGGAACAUGUCUGCAACGUGAUUGUCACUAAUGCUCUGCAGCCAGCCAAAAGAAGAUACUUUACCCAAAGGCACUGGGCAAAAGGGAUUUCUGGCUGCUGGGCCCGGACAGCACCUGGUUCCACCACCUCCAGAGCAGUUCUCACAGCUUUGUGCAGUUGGUGCAUCUCAGCUUUCAGGAUGCUCGGAACACCUGUUGGAAGUCAGACACUUUGGGAGCUUGCUCGUUCUCUCCGGAGACAGAUCUGCAGGGCUGAGGUACCCUGGGCUUGCCAGAGUAUUCCUGAAACCAUGCAUCAAAUUAGGCAGAUGAAGGAAAAGAAUAAAAACAAUUUAUUCUAGCAGAGUGCAUGGUACCAAGCUGCUCACAGAACUGGGAAUAAAGUUAGAAAACAAGAAAAAAAAAAAAAAAAAAAAAAAAAAAA